rnacentral:rRNA from 1 species
AGAGUUUGAUCCUGGCUCAGGAUGAACGCUAGCGGGAGGCUUAACACAUGCAAGUCGAGGGGCAGCAUUAUCUGCUUGCAGAUAGAUGGCGACCGGCGCACGGGUGCGUAACGCGUAUGCAACUUGCCUAUAACUUAGGGAUAACUUGGAGAAAUCCUUGCUAAUAUCUAAUGUGAUCAAAAAUUCGCAUGUUUUUUUGAUUAAAGAAUUUCGGAUAUAGAUAGGCAUGCGUUCUAUUAGCUUGUUGGUAAGGUAACGGCUUACCAAGGCUACGAUAGAUAGGGGGCCUGAGAGGGUGAACCCCCACACUGGUACUGAGACACGGACCAGACUCCUACGGGAGGCAGCAGUGAGGAAUAUUGGUCAAUGGAGGCAACUCUGAACCAGCCAUCCCGCGUGAAGGACUGAAGGCGCUCGACGUCGUAAACUUCUUUUAUAUAGGAAUAAACCUAUCUACGUGUAGAUAGCUGAAGGUACUAUAUGAAUAAGCAUCGGCUAACUCCGUGCCAGCAGCCGCGGUAAUACGGAGGAUGCAAGCGUUAUCCGGAUUUAUUGGGUUUAAAGGGUCCGCAGGCGGAAUUUUAAGUCAGUGGUGAAAGCCUAUAGCUCAACUAUAGAACUGCCAUUGAUACUGAUAUUCUUGAGUAUAGAUGAAGUGGGCGGAAUAUGUCAUGUAGCGGUGAAAUGCAUAGAUAUGACAUGGAACACCAAUUGCGAAGGCAGCUCACUAAACUAUUACUGACGCUCAUGAACGAAAGCAUGGGGAGCGAACAGGAUUAGAUACCCUGGUAGUCCAUGCCGUAAACUAUGAUCACUAGAUGUUGGCGAUAUAUUGUCAGUGUUUUAGAGAAAUCGAUAAGUGAUCCACCUGGGGAGUACGUUCGCAAGAAUGAAACUCAAAGGAAUUGACGGGGGCCCGCACAAGCGGUGGAGCAUGUGGUUUAAUUCGAUGAUACGCGAGGAACCUUACCAAGGCUUAAAUGUAUUUUGACAGAUUGGGAAACCAGUUUUUCUUCGGACAAUUUACAAGGUGCUGCAUGGUUGUCGUCAGCUCGUGCCGUGAGGUGUCGGGUUAAGUCCCAUAACGAGCGCAACCCCUAUUUCUAGUUGCCAGCGAGUAAUGUCGGGAACUCUAGAGAAACUGCCCGUGCAAACGGAGAGGAAGGUGGGGAUGACGUCAAAUCAUCACGGCCCUUAUGUCUUGGGCUACACACGUGCUACAAUGGUCAAUACAGUGGGAUGCCAUCUGGUGACAGAGAGCAAAUCCAUAAAGUUGAUCCCAGUUCGGAUCGGAGUCUGCAACUCGACUCUGUGAAGUUGGAAUCGCUAGUAAUCGCACAUCAGCCACGAUGCGGUGAAUACGUUCCCGGGCCUUGUACACACCGCCCGUCAAGCCAUGGAAGCUGAGGGUACCUGAAGUCGGUAACCGCAAGGAUCUGCCUAGGGUAAGACAGAUAACUAGGGCUAAGUCGUAACAAGGUAACC